UACAGAGGUCCCAAGCGUUGUUCGGAUUCACUGGGCGUAAAGGGUGCGUAGGCGGUCGGGUAAGUCUGGCGUGAAAUCUCCAAGCCUAACUCGGAAACUGCGUUGGAUACUAUCCGGCUCGAGGAAUGGAGGGGAGACUGGAAUACUUGGUGUAGCAGUGAAAUGCGUAGAUAUCAAGUGGAACACCAGUGGCGAAGGCGGCUCUCUGGGACGGUACUGACGCUGAGACGCGAAAGCGUGGGGAGCGAACAGG
rnacentral:rRNA from 1 species